CCUAGCUGACUCAGUCUCAGAAAAGCAUGUGACUCUUAAUCUCAGGUUCGUGGGUUCAAGUCCCACACUGAGUG
rnacentral:tRNA from 1 species